rfam:Cricetulus griseus cell line CHO-K1, whole genome shotgun sequence.
AUUUUGAGCCAUACCACCCUGACGGUGCCCGAUCUCGUCUGAUCUCGGAAGCUAAACAGGGUCGAGCCUGGUUAGUACUUGGAUGGGAAUGUAUUCCUGUAAGGUUUUUUUU